UACGUAGGGUGCAAGCGUUUGUCCGGAAUUAUUGGGCGUAAAGAGCUCGUAGGCGGUCUGUCGCGUCUGCUGUGAAAACUCGGGGCUUAACCCCGGGCCUGCAGUGGGUACGGGCAGACUAGAGUGCGGUAGGGGGAGACUGGAAUUCCUGGUGUAGCGGUGAAAUGCGCAGAUAUCAGGAGGAACACCGGUGGCGAAGGCGGGUCUCUGGGCCGUAACUGACGCUGAGGAGCGAAAGCAUGGGGAGCGAACAGG
rnacentral:rRNA from 1 species